GUUGUUUGUUGUUUACUCCCCGGGUUGACCGCAGCCAGAGCCCCGGAGGGCUAAUUGUAUUGCUCUCGAUUAAAAACCACCCGACCUGCCUCAGCGCCUGGCGGGUGUGCCCGGAGGCAAGGGUUAACAAGCUGCCAUGUUCAUAGUUCCCAAAAACUGCAAAACAAGGGGCAGCUGAACCGACAGCCACAAGACGCCAGCCUCAAGUCUCCUCGGGCGCACCUGUUCUGUCCGGUCGCAGAUCGCAGAUCAUGCGCGCACCAACACAGCGCUGCAUGCCGGCAAUUCGUACGUCAGCUCGCGUCGGAUGCAGCCUGCCGGCAAACACCAGUCUCGCCCGCUGUCCCCCAAUCCCCCCCCGCAGCGUAUCGUUCGUUGAUGUGCUUGCACGUAAAUUGUCGGCAGCGUACAGCGAAACUUUACGCGCGCGCUUUUGCAAUCAACCGACCUACCAGCGGCGUACCGGCAGGUCGAAUCCGAUGACGCUUUGCGAACGGUUCCUUUGGUUUCGCUGCUGACCAGGUGCGACGAACACGAAGUAUCGAACGGUCUGGGGACUUUUCGCAGGCAGUGCACAGCCGAACUCCAACGCAAGGUGGGCAGGUCACCAAAGCAGGAUAACAUUUGACUCAGGUGAGCAACAGACAUUUGGACAUCUUCCUGCCCACGAAACCAGACGGGAGUGCUGCUUCCUAUUGAGGUCGGUACAACGACACCAAAACAAAAGACAGUGCAAACGCCUUGGGUAAGGGUUGCAAUCCCAUCAACCCCAAAGGAGCUCUUGCAGCUUGUGUACGUACGGAUCAUCAAACUUAGAAGCAUACAUAAUUCAUCCCAGCAUGCUAAAUUGCAGACGGAACGUAGUUGUUCCACUUAUUUCCUCCCGAACUCCCGACGUAAUCACACCCGCCCGGCCGCCUUAAGGACGAAGGUGGGGCGCGUUUCGGUUGUAGCGUGUACCGGUGGGCGAGGUGAGGCCGGGGACAGCAUGCGACAAGCAACGAGGGGGCGGGAGGGGCACAGCAUCGAGAACCAACCGGUACGCACCGAUACAUAGAGACAGCCGGCGAUUUCACAACACAUGCCCGUGAUACUAUAGCAUGUGCGGCAUUAUUCGUGAACUUACGGAAACAUUUUACUUGCUUUUUUUUUUUGGUAAAAAGUGGCAGUUAUCGAGAGGCUGUUAUAGCAGACAAGUGAACUUUUGGCAGUUUGUAGUUUGUACAACAAAAAAAAAAGCCAAGGUUAUGUAAAUUUCUUCCGCAAAUUGUCGUCCGAUAUCGAUUUGAGGUUUGAUUUAUUGUUAUUGCCCUAUUGCGUUUCCGCAGCUAUUGAAAUCAAUACCGUAAUUUACAUAACUACGAAGGGUAUUUCGUAAACUCAGGACUGAAGAGAAUUAUUCAAUUAUCAAAAGAAAAAUUAAGGUCUAGUUUACAAAAGUGUUCUAAACAAUAAAAAACGAUACCUUCCUUUACGUGAAAAAA